UCAAUUGCUUAUAACCUUUUGGUUAUAAAUAGUUGUUAGUGGCAGACGGGUGAGUAAUGCGUAGGAAUCUACCUAGUAGUAUGGAAUAGCCAUUAGAAAUGAUGGGUAAUACUGUAUAAUCCCUGCGGGGGAAAGAUUUAUCGCUAUUAGAUGAGCCUACGUUAGAUUAGCUAGUUGGUAAGGUAAUGGCUUACCAAGGCUAUGAUCUAUAGCUGGUCUGAGAGGACGAUCAGCCACACUGGAACUGAGAUACGGUCCAGACUCCUACGGGAGGCAGCAGUGGGGAAUAUUGGACAAUGGGCGAAAGCCUGAUCCAGCUAUGCCGCGUGAGUGAAGAAGG
rnacentral:rRNA from 1 species